rnacentral:lncRNA from 1 species
GGUAGGUGGGAACUGGUGGCGGUGGGGAGUGGUAGACUGGGUGGGGGUGAGGGUAGCGGUGCCUGUGCACUGGUGGAGGAGGGGAAGAGUAUUUGUAUGACUUCUUAGGAGGGGGUGGAGGAGAGUGGUAAACUGGGUGUGGGUGAGGGUAAGGCUUGUGCACUGGUGGUGGGGGAGAUGGGUAUUUGUAUGGCUUCUUUGGUGGUGGAGGUGGUGGGGAGUGGUAGAUUGGGUGAGGGUGAGGGUGAGGGUGUGGGUGAGGGUAAUGGUGAGGAGGGGGUGGAGGAGAUUGGUAGACUGGGUGUGGAUGAGGGUAGGGCUUGUGCACUGGUGGUGGUGGAGAUUGGUAGACUGGGUGUGGAUGAGGGUAGGGCUUGUGCACUGGUGGUGGUGGAGAUGGGUAGUGGUAGGGAGGUGGUGGUGAGGAGACUGGUGGAGGUGGAGGAGAGGAGUAGGAGUAGUGGUUGCCGGAGAUUUGAGAUGGGAGGCUGAAAAGGAUAAUGGCAAAUGCAAGAGUGAUAGAAGCAGAGGCCAUUAGGGACCCCAUUUUCCUCCAACUGAGUUUUGGUUAUGCUCUAAAGUGAG